rnacentral:rRNA from 1 species
UGAGUAACGCGUGAGAAUCUACCUUCUAGAUGGGGACAACCGUUGGAAACGACAGCUAAUCCCCAAUAAGCCGAGAGGUGAAACGGGUAUCCGCUAGAAGAGGAGCUCGCGUCCGAUUAGUUAGUUGGUGGGGUAAAAGCCUACCAAGGCAGCGAUCGGUAGCUGGUCUGAGAGGAUGAGCAGCCACACUGGGACUGAGACACGGCCCAGACUCCUACGGGAGGCAGCAGUGGGGAAUUUUCCGCAAUGGGCGAAAGCCUGACGGAGCAACGCCGCGUGUGGGAAGAAGGCUCUUGGGCUGUCAACCACUUUUCUCAGGGAAGAAGUCCUGACGGUACCUGAGGAAUCAGCCUCGGCUAACUCCGUGCCAGCAGCCGCGGUAAUACGGAGGAGGCAAGCGUUAUCCGGAAUUAUUGGGCGUAAAGCGUCCGCAGGGGGCGCAUCAAGUCUGCUGUUAAAGGUCGGAGCUAAACUCCGGUAGAGCAGUGGAAACUGGUGCGCUAGAGGGCGACGGGGGUAGAGGGAAUUCCCAGUGUAGCGGUGAAAUGCGUAGAGAUUGGGAAGAACACCGGUGGCGAAAGCGCUCUACUGGGUCGCACCUGACCCUCAGGGACGAAAGCUAAGGUAGCGAAAGGGAUUAGAUACCCCUGUAGUCUUAGCCGUAAACGAUGGAUACUAGGCGUGGUUUGUAUCGACCCAAGCCGUGCCGAAGCUAACGCGUUAAGUAUCCCGCCUGGGGAGUACGCACGCAAGUGUGAAACUCAAAGGAAUUGACGGGGGCCCGCACAAGCGGUGGAGGAUGUGGUUUAAUUCGAUGCAACGCGAAGAACCUUACCAGGGCUUGACAUCCCGCGAAUCUCUCUGAAAGGAGAGAGUGCCUACGGGAACGCGGAGACAGGUGGUGCAUGGCUGUCGUCAGCUCGUGUCGUGAGAUGUUGGGUUAAGUCCACGCAACGAGCGCAACCCUGAUCUUUAGUUGCCAGCAUUAGGUUGAGCAGUCUAGGGAGACUUCCGGUGACAAACCGGAGGAAGGUGAGGAAGAGGGUCAAGUCAGCAUGCUCCUUAUACUCUGGGCAACACACGUCUUUCAAUGGUGGGGACAAAGGGGAGCAAGCU